rnacentral:lncRNA from 1 species
UGAGAUUAAAAAUUAUAGUGAGAGACUAGAAAGACAUUGUAUUUCAUCCUUGUUGGGUGAAAUUGAGUGUUAUCUUCACCAUGGGAUAGUCCUGGGUCGGAUCGAUAGCCGUAAAAUCAUCAUUUGUAAAAAGAAUUGGGGAAAUUCUCAGUCGGUCCCUGGUAGUUACUGAGUGGACCGAUUGGAUAGCCCGAAGGUGCUUCUUACGAGCAGAAAUAGAACAUCCUCCUCCUGCGAAUCCUCCAACGAUCAUAUUUAUUUGUCCCACACGACGUUUGAGCUGCUUUCCCGAGAAGGACUUCGACGUGAUCGUCC